rnacentral:misc_RNA from 1 species
CGGCUCUCCGCUGAGCUGCUCGAUGCGUCGAACAAUCGGGGCAACGCAGUCAAGAAGCGUGAAGACGUGCACAAGAUGGCGGAAGCCAACCGUGCCUUCUCGCACUAUCGCUGGUAACGGCGAAACGAACGGAAAUUUAAGGACAGCCCUAUGCCCCGCCUUCAUGCCAUCGAGGACUACCGUAAUUUCGGUAUCAUGGCGCACAUCGACGCCGGUAAAACGACGACGACCGAGCGCAUCCG